GCGGCACGAUCGUGGGAUCCCAGUAGGGUUUUAGCCAUCACUCCCCAUUGUGCGUAAUAGCUCGCCGCUCUCCCUCGAUAACAACCAGAGCGAAAAGGACCCCGUCUCCUCUGCCCUCCAUGGCCGCCGCCGCCCGGUCGGUCCUCCAUUCCUCCUCCCUCCGCAUGGCCGCUGCGAGGGUCGCCUCCGAGGCCAGAGCCUCCUCUCGCCCUCCCCUCCUCCGCCUCCGGCCCGCCGCCCCUCGCUUCCUGAGGUCUCCGGUCGAGAUGAGCUUCGCCGUGGAAUCGCUGCUGCCGAAGCACAGCGCGACUGCCUCGGCGCUGAUGACUUCGAUGCUCACCGUUUCCCUUAGAGGAUACGGGUGGCUCUCUGAAGGACAAGAUGAAACUAGAUGAAGAUCAAGCCAGAAAGCUGGCAAUGAUGACGUAUAACAAAUAUCCAGUGGAUUCGGGCAAAAUUCUGUACAGACUCCCAUCAAUCUUAGACAAGAUGGAUGAGGUGUAGUAUUUGCGGACAAUGCAUUGAGGUAGUAGCUGUGGAAUUCUUCGUCAUGUAUUUUGAGGUACUUUUGGCCAAUUUAUUUUGAUUAAAGGGUGAUGUUUUUUGCAAGUAUUUGAAGAUGUUUUUGUGAUCAUGCCAAAGUCUCCAUGGAAAUUCUUAUUUUCUAGUAGAAGUUAGUAGUGGUGCAGUUGAUUAGUUAUGAGUCGAACUGUGUCAAGACUAACCAAGGGCCCCAAAAGUUGCCAGGUGAAUAGAAAUGCAUUCUUCUGGAUAACUCACUUCGUGGAGGUCAAGAAGCAUGCUCAGAAGUUGAUUCACCUAAAUUUUGAGGUCACUCUAAGGGUGUCUUAGGCUGCUAAGCUAAGGAAAUGAGCAGACUGUGCAAAAAAAAAAAAA